AAAAAUUCUAGAUAGAAACAGCCUCCUGGAUCCCUCUCUCACUGCGGAAGAAAGCCGCCAAGGAGAGUCACCUGUUCAUGUUGGACUUUGUGUGCAUGAAAAACAAACUUUCAUUGUGUUAAACCACUGAGAUUGGGAUGGAUAUUUGUUACUGCUGCAUCCUCUAAUCUAAUAUGUCAGAGGACUGCAGCCGCACCAUACCCUGCAGUUCUGAAGCCCUGCAGGGAGCCCCCUCGGCUUGUCCUGUGGUCCCUUUAGGAAGGUGGGCCUGGCUCAGAAGUUGCAUCCAGAGGAAACUGAGCUCCUGCACCUGCUCCACUUGAUGAAUGACAAACAGCAACAGAUGCGCAGAGCGGGGGGAGGUUGAAGGCUUUGUCUGCCUUUGCGGCCCACGCACAGAAAGCGGUUCCCCUGCCAACGACCAGGUGGCUUUGCCCAAAUAUGGAGAAACACUUUAGGCCAUUAGUUCUGGUUUGAGCUAAGCAGAAUAAACUAAUCUUCCCCUGGCCAAAUGGGAA